UAACUGCUCGAAAGAGCAGCUAAUACCGCAUACGACCUGAGGGUGAAAGCGGGGGACCGUAAGGCCUCGCGCGAUUGGAGCGGCCGAUGUCAGAUUAGGUAGUUGGUGGGGUAAAGGCCCACCAAGCCGACGAUCUGUAGCUGGUCUGAGAGGACGACCAGCCACACUGGGACUGAGACACGGCCCAGACUCCUACGGGAGGCAGCAGUGGGGAAUUUUGGACAAUGGGCGCAAGCCUGAUCCAUCCAAGGCGCGUGCAGGAAGAAGGCCUUCGGGUGUAAACUUAAGAGUCAGGGAAGAAAAGGCUCCUUCUAUACAGGGGGCUCAUGAC
rnacentral:rRNA from 1 species